GGCCCCAUCGUCUAACGGCUAGGACGGCGGAUUCUCAUUCCGUAAAUCGGGGUUCGAUUCCCCGUGGGGUCACCA
rnacentral:tRNA from 18 species